CCUACCCACCAAGGAAUUCAAAACCCUAAAAAAAUUAUCGAAUCGCUCCCUUUCUGAGCUCUCAGUGCGAUCCCCAAAUUCGUGGCAGGUAAAAAUGAGUAGCCGUGCGAGCAGAACCCUCUACGUUGGGAAUCUUCCCGGUGAUAUUCGUGAGAGGGAAGUGGAAGAUUUGUUUUACAAGUAUGGACGCAUAGUGCAUAUCGACCUAAAGGUCCCUCCAAGGCCCCCCGGUUACGCGUUUGUUGAGUUUGAGGAUGCUAGAGAUGCUGAAGAUGCGAUACGUGGUCGUGAUGGCUAUGAUUUUGAUGGGCAUCGUUUGCGGGUUGAACUUGCUCAUGGUGGGCGUGGACAUUCAUCCUCUUCAGAUCGUUAUAGUAGUUACGGUGGUGGUCGGGGUGGACGUGGAGUAUCGAGGCGCUCUGAUUAUCGUGUAUUGGUCACUGGAUUACCCUCGUCAGCUUCAUGGCAGGAUCUUAAGGAUCACAUGCGGCGUGCUGGUGAUGUUUGUUUCUCUCAAGUCUUCCGUGACGGUAGUGGCGGCACUACAGGAAUCGUGGACUAUACUAAUCAUGAGGACAUGAAGUAUGCGAUUAAAAAGCUUGACGAUUCUGAGUUCCGGAAUGCAUUUUCUCGGGCAUAUGUUCGUGUGAAGGAAUAUGAUUCAAAGCGGGACUCAUCAAAGAGUCCUGUUCGUGGUCGAUCUCACUCUAGAGAUAGGAGUUACAGCCGCAGCCGAAGUUACAGUCGGAGCAGGAGCAGGAGCAAGUCUCCAAAAGCCAAAUCUUCACGUCGCUCACCUGCUAAAUUAGAAUCAAGGUCCAGAUCUCGCUCACGCUCAGCAUCAAGGUCCCGCUCCCCAUCAGGAUUUGGAUUUAUGCAGCGAACUGGGGAUUGGAUAUUAGGAUCUUGAUUGGAUUUGGUUCAAUUGCUUGCAACUCUUUUGGUUGUGGAGAUUGGGAACAAAGGAGGUCAUGGAUUGCGAUAGUAGAGCUGGAUAACUGUGUACUAAGUGCCAUUGGGAUUUGGAAGUCACCAUCAUGCAGUAGAGACAUUUCCUUGUGAUUUCCUGCUGCGACACUUGCCAAAGCUAAUAGGGUGACACUUUCUGGAUUCCCUGGAUUACGGUGGUACAGUAGGGAAGAAUGCUCCUCUCUUCCUCUCCUGUCCACAAGUGUCUUAAAAAAAAUUGAAAAAAAAAUCAUGCUUCUUUGUUAAAAUUUAUUCUCUGUGAUUUAGGACGUCUAGGUGGGAAUAGAUUUUCUUUUUGAACUGCUAAACUUUUAUGUCUGUCUUUUUAUCAUAUUGGUUCUGGUAUCUCUGACGUGGAAGAGGCAUCAAGGAUCUUGGAUCAAAUUUGGUAAAAGGAACAUGUGGAAUUUAAAUUGGUUGUUUCUGGAACUUUUGCAGAUCCCGAUCAAGAUCUAGGUCUCCAUUACCUGCAAAACAUACAAGUAAAAGCCCUAAAAAGCGCAGCGUCAGCAAAAGUCCUAGCAGGA